UGCAUUCUCCUUAGAUCCACUUUCGGUUAUUAUAGAAAGUGCUUGAGUCAUAAGGAUGCUAGAUCACGAUACCUCCAUGUAAGACAAUGAUUCCAAAUUUUUUAAUAUUUGAAAUCAAAAUCUCUAUUUGGGGAACAA